ensembl:lincRNA
GGUGAACAGGAAACGGGCCGAGACGGCGGCGGGCGCAGCGCCAGCGGGGCGGCCUGGCGGCCAGAGGGCAGACCCGCCGCGCUCCCAGCGCCCCUGCCCAAGCGGGAAGGCUCGGCGGGGGCCUCUGCCUCCCCCACAGAGCCCUGCCCGGGAGGGAACGCGGGAAGGCCGAGCAGAAAGACGAAGGCGGGAUCAUUGUUGGGGUGCGGAAGAAAGCAAACAGCAGGCGCCGCCGCCUCGCUAAGCCGCUCUCCCGCCCUCCCCCCGCCCCGCACCCUCUGCCCCCGCUCUGCCUGCUGGGCAAACCUGAUAGCUGCCCUUGCCCAGAAUAUGUGCCCAGAGAGGUCACCCUUCGAAUCAAGAGAAAGAAAAAGGAAGGCUUACCGCUUCCCCCCGCAAGUGCACAACCACGACGACGGGUGGCGACUCUGUCGGGAGAACCUUCUGCCCCAAGCCAGAGCGGCGACCUCGGGUGUCCCAGCCACCCCCUCGGGAUGCUCACCGUCCACAGCGACCACGAGAGGCAGAACGUUAUCAGAGCAUAUGGAGAUAUUUGCACCAAAGAAGCAGCCUGAACCAGGAGAGGAAAAAAAAUAGGAUUUUAGUAAGAGAGUGCUCUAAAAUCUACAGCUGCCCAGGCUGAGCACUUAGCCCAUUCCUUUCUGUCCACCUGAGAGGAAGGACAGAUCAAUAUUAUCUCCAUGAAUGAUGGUUCUUCUCACUGGAGAGAGAGCCUUUCCAAAACAAACAAACAAAAAAAUACUAAAAAAAUCUCUAAAUGUAUUUUGGAAGUUCUAUGGAGAACAUCAUUUGUUCCUACAACAUUUUUGUACAACAUCAUCCUGGGUGUGUCAUGCUGGAAGAUCUUUUGUUUGGCCUGUAGGCGGGAGCGGCCUCUUUUUGUCUUUGUGGUCACCGAGCCAGCAUAGUUCUCAACAUGAAGUCAGGUCUUGGUGAACAUAAGAAAGGUGGAAGGGGAAGGCAGAGGAAGGAACAUUUAUUCAGAUGGCAUCCUAGCCCUUUAGCUUCCAGCAAUCUCUUACGGAAAAAAGUAAACCAAAGGGAAGAACUAGCCAAGCAUAUGUUCUACAGGCCAAAGAAACAGAACUAUGGGCACUGAAGAUGGCUGGGCUCACCAGCCUCAUUGCCGUCAUUCUCUCCAACCAUCCCAGUCCUAGAGCUUCAGCUCCAUGUAUCAGAAGCUCCUCAUUCAAUCCCUCACUCAUUUGACCCACAGACACUGAGCACCUACUAUGUGUCAAGCAACUCAUGAUUUUAGAACACCCAGACCCAUUGGACAGGCAGGACAAAAAAUUCCACCAAAGCAUUGGCUCACCUCUUCUACUUUCUCCCAAGCAAUGAAAAGAAAACACACUAGAAUUCACUGGAAAAUUGAUUUGUCACAUAAAGCACCUCCAGAACAUCCAGCUCUUAAUAAAUGUCCUUGUUGAAUUAAUACCUAUUGUUGGGGGAAAAAUGUGAUGCCUCUUCAGUGGACUUGUUGGCUUCUAAACUAACCUCUACUCUCCUCUCUUCUUUCCAAACUGGACGCCCA